UACGAAGGGGGCUAGCGUUGCUCGGAAUCACUGGGCGUAAAGGGUGCGUAGGCGGGUCUUUAAGUCAGGGGUGAAAUCCUGGAGCUCAACUCCAGAACUGCCUUUGAUACUGAAGAUCUUGAGUUCGGGAGAGGUGAGUGGAACUGCGAGUGUAGAGGUGAAAUUCGUAGAUAUUCGCAAGAACACCGGUGGCGAAGGCGGCAUCCUGGACCAAUAUUGACGCUGCGGAGCGAAAGCCAGGGGAGCAAACGGG
rnacentral:rRNA from 1 species